UACGUAGGGUGCGAGCGUUGUCCGGAAUUAUUGGGCGUAAAGAGCUCGUAGGCGGCUUGUCACGUCGGAUGUGAAAGCCCGAGGCUUAACCUCGGGUCUGCAUUCGAUACGGGCUAGCUAGAGUGUGGUAGGGGAGAUCGGAAUUCCUGGUGUAGCGGUGAAAUGCGCAGAUAUCAGGAGGAACACCGGUGGCGAAGGCGGAUCUCUGGGCCAUUACUGACGCUGAGGAGCGAAAGCGUGGGGAGCGAACAGG
rnacentral:rRNA from 1 species